UACGUAGGGGGCAAGCGUUGUCCGGAAUCAUUGGGCGUAAAGAGCGUGUAGGCGGUUCGGUAAGUCGGCUGUGAAAGUCCAGGGCUCAACCCUGGGAUGCCGGUCGAUACUACCGGACUAGAGUUCGGAAGAGGCGAGUGGAAUUCCUGGUGUAGCGGUGGAAUGCGCAGAUAUCAGGAGGAACACCGAUGGCGAAGGCAGCUCGCUGGGGACGGUACUGACGCUGAGGCGCGAAAAGCGUGGGGGAGCGAACAGG
rnacentral:rRNA from 1 species